rnacentral:rRNA from 1 species
GACGAACGCUGGCGGCGUGCUUAACACAUGCAAGUCGAACGGAAAGGCCCUGCUUUUGUGGGGUGCUCGAGUGGCGAACGGGUGUGUAUCACGUGAGUAACCUGCCCUUGACUGUGGGAUAACUUCAGGAAACUGGGGAUAAUACAGGAUAGGAGCUCCUGCUGCAUGGUGUGGGUUGGAAAGUUUCGGCGGUUGGGGAUGGACUAGCGGGUUAUCAGCUUGUUGGUGGGGUAGUGGCUUACCAAGGCUUUGACGGGUAGCCGGCCUGAGAGGGUGACCGGCCACAGUAGUACUGCGAGACGGCCCAGACUCCUACGUGAGGCAGCAGUGGAGAAUAUUACACAAUGAGCGGAAGCCUGAUACGACAGCGCCGCGUUCGGGAUGACGGCCUUCGGGUUAUGAACCGCUUUCGCCUGAGACGAAGCGGGAGUGACGGUAAUGGGUAAAGAAGCACCGGCUAACUACGUG